rnacentral:rRNA from 1 species
GAUCCUGGCUCGGGAUGAACGCUAGCGGCAGGCUUAACACAUGCAAGUCGAGGGGCAGCAUAAUGGUAGUAAUACUAUUGAUGGCGACCGGCGGACGGGUGCGUAACGUGUAUGCAACCUACCCUUUACAGGGGGAUAACACUGAGAAAUCGGUACUAAUACCCCAUAAUAUUCCGGGAGGCAUCUUUCGGAGUUGAAAGCUUUGGUGGUAAAGGAUGGGCAUGCGUUGUAUUAGCUAGUUGGUAAGGUAACGG